rnacentral:rRNA from 1 species
AUUGAACGCUGGCGGCAUGCCUUACACAUGCAAGUCGAACGGCAGCGCGGACUUCGGUCUGGCGGCGAGUGGCGAACGGGCGAGUAAUACAUCGGAACGUACCCUGUUGUGGGGGAUAACUAGUCGAAAGAUUAGCUAAUACCGCAUACGACCUGAGGGUGAAAGUGGGGGACCGGAAACGGCCUCAUGCAGCAGGAGCGGCCGAUGUCUGAUUAGCUAGUUGGUGGGGUAAAGGCCCACCAAGGCGACGAUCAGUAGCUGGUCUGAGAGGACGAUCAGCCACACUGGAACUGAGACACGGCCCAGACUCCUACGGGAGGCAGCAGUGGGGAAUUUUGGACAAUGGGGGCAACCCUGAUCCAGCAAUGCCGCGUGUGUGAAGAAGGCCUUCGGGUUGUAAAGCACUUUUGUCCGGAAAGAAAUCGCGCUGGUUAAUACCUGGCGUGGAUGACGGUACCGGAAGAAUAAGCACCGGCUAACUACGUG